rnacentral:rRNA from 1 species
UACGGAAGGUCCGGGCGUUAUCCGGAUUUAUUGGGUUUAAAGGGAGCGUAGGCCGUCUUAUAAGCGUGUUGUGAAAUGUCGGGGCUCAACCUGGGCAUUGCAGCGCGAACUGUGAGACUUGAGUGCGCAGGAAGUAGGCGGAAUUCGUCGUGUAGCGGUGAAAUGCUUAGAUAUGACGAAGAACUCCGAUUGCGAAGGCAGCCUGCUGUAGCGCAACUGACGCUGAAGCUCGAAAGCGUGGGUAUCGAACAGGAUUAGAUACCCAGUCCGGCUGACUGACU